rnacentral:rRNA from 1 species
AUUGAACGCUGGCGGCAGGCCUAACACAUGCAAGUCGAGCGAGCGGCGGACGGGUGAGUAAUGUCUGGGAAACUGCCCCAUGGAGGGGGAUAAAUACUGGAAAAGGUAGCUAAUACCGCAUACCAUCGGAUGUGCCCCGAUGGGAUUAGCUAGUAGGUGGGGUGACGGGUCACCUAGGCGCCGAUCCCUAGCUGGUCUGAGAGGAGGACCAGCCACACGGGAACUUAGACACGGUCCAGACUCCUGCGGGAGGCAGCAGGGGGGAGUAGUGCACAAUGGGCGCAAGCCUGAUGCAUCCUGGCCGGGUGUGGGAAGAAGGCUGUCGGGUUGUAAAGCACUUUCAGCGGGGAGUCGUUACCCGCAGAAGAAGCACCGGCUAACUCCGUGCCAGCAGCCGCGGUAAUAC